rnacentral:rRNA from 1 species
GACGAACGCUGGCGGCGUGCUUAACACAUGCAAGUCGAACGGAAAGGCCCCUUUGGGGGUACUCGAGUGGCGAACGGGUGAGUAACACGUGAGUAACCUUCCCUUGACUUCGGGAUAACUUCAGGAAACUGGGGCUAAUACCGGCUAGGAAUCCUUGCUGCAUGGUGGGGGUUGGAAAGCUUUGGCGGUUUUGGAUGGGCUGGCGGCUUAUCAGCUUGUUGGUGGGGUAGUGGCUUACCAAGGCUUCGACGGGUAGCCGGCCUGAGAGGGCGACCGGCCAUAUUGGGACUGAGAGACGGCCCAGACUCCGACGGGAGGCAGCAGGGGGGAAGAUUGAACAAGGGGCGGAAGCCUGAUGCAGCAACGCCGCGUGCGGGAUGACGGCCUUCGGGUUGUAAACCGCUUUCAGCAGGGGCGAAGCUUGUGGUGACGGUACCUGCAGAAGAAGCACCGGCUAACUACGUG